GUCAAGCUUUCUGGUGUCCUUGCU
rnacentral:piRNA from 1 species